AAAAAAAAAAAAACCCCAAAAAAUGGAUUUUAUGUGCGUCAGUGCGUGGAUGGCAAGACAAGGCCGUUGGAGAAUCCCCAACAUAUAGGGUUUUACUAAACCUCGCUCCUCUGUCAAAACCCUGAAUUCUUUCUAUAUCAACCGUCAACUCUAUCUCUCUUUCUCUCUGUGUGCGCAACCAAUAUGAACAAGGGACCUGGCCUCUUUUCCGACUUCGGCAAGAAAGCCAGAGAUUUACUCACCAAGGACUACACUACCGACCAGAAGUUUUCAAUUUCUUCUUUCACCGACUCUGGAGUGGCUAUCACCUCAAGUUUGGUUGCGGAGGGAGGUCUGUCUGCUGGGGAUGUAGUCGCACAACAUAAAUUCAAGAAUGGCUCACUUGAUGUCAAACUUGACACAGAAUCAAACAUUUUAACAACCCUUAGCAUCACAGAUUUCCCAUCGUCUACAAAAGUCAUUGCUUCUCUAAAGUUGCCUGAUUACAACUCUGGCAAGCUGGAGGUACAGUAUUUCCAUCAACAUUCUGGUGUCAGUGCAGCUGUUGGAUUAAACCAGUCUCCGGCUGUUGAUUUCUCAGCAACUAUUGGCACUCCUGCCAUUGCCUUUGGUGCAGAGACAACCUACGCUACAGCUUCUGGUGAAUUUGCAAAGUAUAAUGCUGGUGUGAGUUACACAAAACCAGAUUCCAAUGCUUCAGUGAUUCUGGCUGACAAAGGAGACUCGAUUAAGGUAUCCUAUUUACAUCAUCUGGAUCUACUGAAUGGGGGCACUUUUGGGGGAGAGAUCAGUCGAAGGUUCUCCACUAAUGAGAACACAUUGACAGUUGGAUGUUCCUAUUUGGUUGAUCCUCAUACAGCGCUGAAGGCAAAGCUAAACAACCAUGGCAGUCUUGGUGCUCUUCUACAACAUGAGCUCAGGCCCAAGUCCUUCCUGACAAUUUCUGGUGCUUUCAACACCAUGAACAUGCAGAAGAAUCCCAAGUUUGGGUUGGCUCUCUCUCUCAAGCCUUGAUUGGCUAUACUCAUAUCAUGACAGGAAGAUGCAACCAAUUUUAUUCAAAGUACUUAUCUUGAUUUCCUCCUCGCUCAAAUUGAGGCAUUUUGAUAAAUUACAUUAUUUGAAAUUCCCUAAAGUUGGUAUUUCUCAUCGGUCGCUUGAAAAUGUUUACUGCAGAUUGUUUAAAUAAUUUACUUGCUAGUUGCUAUUGAGUAUAGCCAAUCAAGGC
rnacentral:misc_RNA from 1 species